AUUCACGACACAAGCGGUUCACAAAAUGUUUCGUGUUAGGCUAUAAAAACGGAUUUUAUCAAACAAAAGAUGAUUCAUUCUGUAACAAUGAGUAUUGGGAUUGCAAACAGACGAAGACCGUCAAAGUGCUGAGAGACAGAGGUCUGACUGCUGGUCGUGACCGUGAGGUUGUGAUGUGGUCGGACCGAGCGGUCCUGAUGAUGGGGUUCCAUGUGUUCCCUUUGACCCUGACCAUAAUGGAGGAACUGAGGAACUUGUACCCGGUCGCACCGCCCCGCCCCGGCCACCGCUGGAACCAAAUUACAGCCCCGGACUCUGAAAUUCUGCUCUUACUAUUUCCCCUUCUUCUUCCGAUAAAAUACAGGAAGAUGUUAAAAAAAAUCACACCUUACAUACUUUUCUUAUUUAUUUAGACAGAUACAGAAAUGGAGGGAAAUAGAGAAAAGUGAAGAAUAGUUGGAAAGGUGAACACAAAUAUUAAACAUGGGUCUCCAGCAGGAAUUUGAUUACAUGUGACUGGUCAGGAAAAUUUCCACUAGACCACAGGCUCUGCCAGAAAUACAUUUCUGCAUGUUAAAGCUAGGUAUUAUAAAAACAUUCUCUUGGGGAAAUGGGAAAGCAGCUGGAUGUUUAUUUGACAUUUUAGCAGAUGCUCUUAUCCAGAGCAACUUAUAGUAGUGAGUGCAUGCAUUUUUAUACUGAUCCCCUGUGGGAAUCCAACCCACAACCCUGGCGUUUCAAGCACCAUGCUCUACCAACUGAGCCAUACAGCUCAGUUGUUAGAGAGUAAUGUUGUUGGGUUAUUAGGAGUGGAUGGGGAUGGUGAGUUCACUGAUGGUUUAUGAGCAUCUUAUGCCAAAAGGGACAGGAUCAAUCAAAAGGCUUGACGAAUGUCUUCAUUAAUUAUCCUCUGCAUACUGUUCUCAGUCUUUAUGAGAAUAUUUUUCACUCACAAGACUUGUUGCAGUACAGUAGGAGAAUAUAAUACAAUACAAUUACGUCUCAUUGAUUGUAUAGAAGUCUGACUCUUGACAAUAACCCAUUACAUGCUCUGCUUUGUACAGAGUUUUGAUGUC